rnacentral:misc_RNA from 1 species
AAGUCGUAACAAGGUUUCCGUAGGUGAACCUGCGGAAGGAUCAUUAACACGUAUCCAACGUUAAACCCCCCGUGAACCUUCAGUGCGCUCGCACUUUCUUAGAAAAGGUAGCAAUCCCUGUUGAUUCAGGGACUUCUGCGUAGACUGUGCUUGAGCGUGAGGCAAGUGGCCUGGCAUUCCUCUGCUUGUUGGUGUCUGAAAGUGUCACCAGCUCUGUACGAAUGGCGCAGUCACGAUCGCUAGAGGCCGACACGGCCGGCGACCGGGUCACUGGGCGCGAGCCCCCCUCGUCACCUUUGCAUGAAAACGGGCCUGCGCUUAAUUGUGCGGCCACCAAACUCGAACAACUGUUAACAAUGGAUAUCUUGGUUCUC